rnacentral:rRNA from 1 species
CGUCCAACAGCUAGCCCCCCUCCCAAAAAGCAACAAAACCCUAUCAAUACCCCCAAAUACACCAACACCUCCUAAAACAAACCAUUUUUCCCCCUUAGUAUGGGCGACAGAAAAGGCACUACGGAGCUAUAGAUAAAGUACCGCAAGGGAACGCUGAAAGAGAAAUGAAAUAACCCAGUUAAACCCAAAGAAGCAGAGAUUAGAACUCGUACCUUUUGCAUCAUGAUUUAGCCAGUACUCAUCAAGCAAAGAGCACUUUAGUUUGACUCCCCGAAACUGUGCGAGCUACUCCAAGACAGCCUACCAAUAGGGCAAACCCGUCUCUGUGGCAAAAGAGUGGGAAGAGCUUAGAGUAGAGGUGACAAACCUACCGAGCCCAGUUAUAGCUGGUUGCCUGGGAAUUGGAUAGAAGUUCAGCCUCUCGGCUUCUUUCUUCCCCUCACGUCCUAGACCCACUUCGACACUUUAAGAAACCGACAGAGUUAAUCAAAGGAGGUACAGCCCCUUUGAUACAAGACACAACUUUCCUAGGAGGUUAAAGAUCAUAAUUAGACCAAGGCAAAAUGUUUUAGUGGGCUUAAAAGCAGCCACCUCUACAGAAAGCGUUAAAGCUCAGACAUACCCUACCCCCUUAAAUCCUGAUAAUCCUAUCUCACCCCCCUAACACUACCAGGCCAUCCUAUGCAACCAUAGGAGCGAUCAUGCUAAUAUGAGUAAUAAGAGAGUUUAACGCCUCUCUCCUUGCACACACGUAUAUCGGAGCGGACCUCCCACCGAAUCUUAACGGCCCCAAACAAAGAGGGCACUGAACAACAGACCAAACAACAAGAAAAACGUCCUACAAAAACCGUUAACCCUACACAGGUGUGCCCACAAGGAAAGACUAAAAGAAAGAGAAGGAACUCGGCAAACACAUGAAGCCUCGCCUGUUUACCAAAAACAUCGCCUCUUGCAAAAGCAACGUAUAAGAGGUCCCGCCUGCCCUGUGACUAUAAGUUCAACGGCCGCGGUAUUUUGACCGUGCGAAGGUAGCGCAAUCACUUGCCUUUUAAAUGAAGGCCCGUAUGAAUGGCACGACGAGGGCUUAGCUGUCUCCUUUUUCCAGUCAAUGAAAUUGAUCCCCCCGUGCAGAAGCGGGGAUCCAAUCAUAAGACGAGAAGACCCUAUGGAGCUUUAGAUACUAAGACAGAUCACGUCACACACCCCUAAACAAAGGACUAAACCAAGUGAAACCUGUCCUAAUAUCUUUGGUUGGGGCGACCGCGGGGAAAUACAAAACCCCCAUGUGGAAUGGGAAUACCCCUCCUACAAUCCAGAGCUCCCGCUCUAACGAACAGAAAAUCUGACCAAUUAGAUCCGGCAGUGCCGAUCAACGAACCCAGUUACCCUAGGGAUAACAGCGCAAUCCCCUUCUAGAGCCCCUAUCGACAAGGGGGUUUACGACCUCGAUGUUGGAUCAGGACAUCCUAAUGAUGCAGCCGUUAUUAAGGGUUCGUUUGUUCAACGAUUAAAGUCCUACGUGAUCUGAGUUCAGACCGGAGUAAUCCAGGUCAGUUUCUAUCUAUGACAUGAUCUUUUCUAGUACGAAAGGACCGAAAAGAAGAGGUCCAUACUAAAAGUACACCUCACCUUUACCUGCUGAAAACAACUAAAUAGACAAAAAGGCAUACCCCUCCUACCCGAGAAAAUGGGCC